rnacentral:rRNA from 1 species
UACAGAGGUCUCAAGCGUUGUUCGGAUUCAUUGGGCGUAAAGGGUGCGUAGGUGGCGCUGUAAGUCGGGUGUGAAAUUUCGGAGCUUAACUCCGAAACUGCAUUCGAUACUGCCGUGCUUGAGGACUGGAGAGGAGACUGGAAUUUACGGUGUAGCGGUGAAAUGCGUAGAUAUCGUAAGGAAGACCAGUGGCGAAGGCGGGUCUCUGGACAGUUCCUGACGCUGAGGCACGAAGGUCAGGGGAGCAAACGGG